GAUCAUGGCUCAGGAUUAACGCUGGCGGCGUGCCUAAUACAUGCAAGUCGAAUGGUAGCAAUACCAUGGCGAACGGGUGAGUAACACGUAGGUAACCUGUCUUUAAGCCGAGGAUAACCAUUGGAAACGAUGGAUAAUACUGGAUAGGACAUUUGAAGGCAUCUUUAGAUGUUUAAAGAUUUAUCACUUAGAGAGGGGCCUGCGGCGCAUUAGCUAGUCGGUGAGGUGAAGGCUUACCAAGGCGAUGAUGCGUAGCCGGACUGAGAGGUUGAACGGCCACAAUGGAACUGAGAACGGUCCAUACUCCUACGGGAGGCAGCAGUAGGGAAUUUUCGGCAAUGGGCGGAAGCCUGAACCCGAGCAACGCCGCGUGAACGAAGAAGUAUUUCGGUAUGUAAAGUUCUUUUAUUAGGGACGAAAAGACAGAUUGACGGUACCUAAUGAAUAAGCUCCGGCUAACUACGUGCCAGCAGCUGC
rnacentral:rRNA from 1 species